rnacentral:tRNA from 1 species
GGGUGGCUAGUGUAGCCGAACAACACGGUAGCGUCCGAAGCUACAAAUCCGGGUUUGACUUCCGGCCCGCCCACCA